rnacentral:misc_RNA from 1 species
AGGUUUCUUUUCCCGCCACAAUGACGAAUUUCCAAACGAUGGACUAGUUGAUCAGUCUGCGCGAACCCUUUUCGCCCUUCUGGUUAGGAGUUGACUUCGACAACGUAACCGCACCAAAGAAACCAACACAACCGAGAACGUAGAUACAUCUGAGCUUUUAGACUAUAAUGUAUUCCAAAAUGCAUUGCACGAACACCUGCGAGCUGUAAGCCAUGAAGACGAUCAGAUGCGUUCCACAAAUUCUUCUCGGUUCUGCUCGUCGCAAGAGUCCGGUUUUGUGUUGUUCGCUUGGAUAAGACGGCAAAUAUGGACAAAGGGACCGACUUUAAUAGAUAAAGCAUUUGAUAGCGAAACGGAAUUGGAAAAAAAAGUUGGCGUUCAUCCAAUAUGAAAAUGAUGCGCUUCCAUUGAAUUGCAGUUUGAAUUGCUACAAACUAGGUCAGGAGAAACCAGAGACUGGGUUGUCUGCCUGCUUUGUGCAGUCAGUCUAUUACACUGCAUGUAUAACAAAUAUUGUAUACAAACGGCAGACUGUUGGUCGGCCGGAAACGCUAUCAAUGCGAUAGCAUAGUAACAUCCCUCUUUUUCUUUUUUUUUACUAGUUUAUUAUUAGUGGAAUUUAUCUUAUUUUUUGUUUGGUUUUAUUGUAAGAUGCUGAGACGGUGAAGAGCUCAACGGAGUAGAAAGGAUAAAUUCGGCAGUAACACACUGACCACCAAACCGUGCGCAUCGUGUCAUUCUUGAUCGUCUUCAAACAAUGGAGGAGACCUCAAAAUCUCAUAAUGAGCUGUUAUUCGGCUGGGCGGAUUAUUUACUUUUCACUUCAACCUUACUGAUGUCGUUACUCAUUGGUGUCUAUCACGCUUGGCGAGGCAGUAACUCUACCUCCGAAUACUUGAUGGGAGGGAAGAGCAUGGGUAUAUUCCCCAUCGCAAUGUCUUUGGCUGCCAGUUCCAUUUCGGGGACGACAUUAUUAGGAACUCCAGCUGAUGUGUACCUCACAGGCACCAUGUAUUUAUGGAUGCCAUUGGCUAUGUUCCUUUGUACUCCAGCUACCGGUUACCUCUAUCUAGCCAUGUUUCAUCGUCUUCAGGUCGUUUCAGCUAAUCAGUAUCUUGAAUUACGAUUCAAUCACAUAGUGAGGCGCAUCGCUUCCUUCCUUUAUAUCGUCAAACAGUUGUUUUAUAUGGCCAUCAUAGUGUAUGCGCCGUCAUUGGCCUUGAAACAAGUAACCGGAAUCAAUGUUUACAUCUCCGUUGGAGUUCUGCUAAGCGUCUGUACCUUCUAUACUGCCCUUGGUGGACUUAAAGCAGUUGUCUGGACUGACACUUUACAAAUAUUUGUCAUGUAUGGUUCCUUUAUUACGGUACUUGUCAAGGGAAGCAUGGAUAUAGGAGGACUCAAUACGGUUUGGCAGCGCAAUUUUAAUUCAUCUCGCAUAGAAUUUUUUAACAUUGAUUUCGAUCCUACGACCCGCCAUACGAUUUGGUCUUUGGUUAUCGGAGGUUUCUUUUAUUGGACAUCUUUUUACGGAACGGAUCAGUCCAUCGUUCAGCGUUUUCUGGCUAUGCCAACGUUACCCAGAGCACAAAUAUCCAUGUGGUGUAAUUUAGUUGCAGCUGCUGGAAUUGUUGGCCUUGCUUGUUUCGGUGGUAUGAUUGUAUACGCCAAAUACUUUGAUUGCGAUCCUUUAUCAUCCAAAGUUAUUGAGAAAGCUGACCAGAUCAUGCCUUUAUUCGUCAUGGACACCGUUGGAAGUUUGCCUGGUUUGCCUGGCCUAUUCGUGGCAGGUGUUUUCUCUGGCGCAUUAAGUUCUUUGUCAAGUGGUUUGAAUUCUGUAGCUCUAAUCGUGUUGGAGGAUUUUAUUCGGCCUUUCUUUCCACUCAUUGAAGAUCAAACUGCCACUAAGAUCACUAAAGGGGUAGCAAUUUUAUUCGGAUGUAUAAACUUCGGAAUGGUUCUUCUCGUCUCACAAGUCCAGACUAUCUUGGAUGCUACUCUCAGCUUUAACGGAGCCGUCAACGGAGCAACCAUAGGCGUCUUUAGCUUGGGUAUGUUCGUUCCGCAAGCCAAUUCUAUCGGAGCCGGUUUUGGUUUAUUAGCAUCAUUUGCAACGAUGAUGUGGCUCGGAAUAGGAUCUCAAAUUGCAAAAUCGCGUGGACUAAGUCACAAUCAAUUGAAAUUGUUGAGAACCGACAGUUGUCCACUACUCAAUUCAACUGCGAGCGCUGCAAUAAGCAAUGGAUCGAUAUUUCGUACCUGUGGUACACAAUGAUAGGAAUGUUGAUUGUGCUGAUCCUCGGGACAAUAGUCAGCUUUUUAUCCGGACCACAAAAUCCUCAAAAACUUGACCCCAAACUUCUUUGCAAAUACAGCAACUGUUUUCGAUCGAGCAAAAAGGCCGGAGAGUUGCCUUCGGACCCCAAAACUGAUGACAUUGAACUAGAAUGAGUUUUAUAGUUUGACCUUUCAGUGAAACCUUGGAUUAUGCACUCCUUAACGUUAAGAGUUAACACUUUUGCCCCAAACCAUAAUUCAUCUCCUUCAAUCAAUAGUGACCUUCGCAAUUGUCAGUCUAGCCCCUUUGAAUAAGAAAUGAAGGCUACACUUCCAGUUUUUAUGUCGGACCACAGACCUUUGCAACAUUUUAAACUCAGCCUGCCAAAGUAAGGCGCUCGCAGCGGCCUUCUGUCUUCCAAUAUUGAGGUACGCUCAAGAGUAGAAAACCGUAAAUCAUAGUGAUUUUAUCCUUUUCCCUGUGGGUUGAUUAGAAAACGUUUUAACUCGACUUUUGUAAACCCGUUUUAUUUCUUUUAUUUUCUCUCGCAAUUCUUUUUUAAAAUAACUGUUUAAAUCAUCUACGCCUUAAUGUGAAAAGAUAAUUUAUUCAUGAAAAUCGAUGCGCUAAGGAAAUGGCGAGAAACCUGAGUACUACAUUGCGCGUUUUUUAUUA